CUUAAUGUUUUAGGGAGGCACUCACUGAUACUUUAAAGUUUGAUAAAAGACACUCCUCAGCUUUAGUAGGUUUCAGGACGACUUAGCUCCCAGGUUAAAAGGAGCCAUUUGGGUUGGCCAAAGAAGCCAGUUCCUGGGAAACCAAAUAUGGUCAUUUUGUGUAGAUUUCACUUCUUCUCCUUUUGCUGGCCAUUCUGCGUUUCCCAGGCCACCUGUCACCUUUGGAAAUACCCAGGGCUGGGCAUUGUGGUGCACACCUUUAAUCCCAGCAUUUGGGAGGCAGAGGCAGGUGGCUCUCUGUGAUUUCGGGACCUGCCCUGUCUACAUAGUGAGUUCAAAGACAGAGCUAUAUAGUGAAAGCCUGUCUUGAAAAAGAAAAAAAAAGAAAGAGUGCUCGCUUCAGCAACCCAUAUACUAAAAUUGGAAAGAAAGAAAGAAAGAAAGAUGGGAAAGAAAAGAAAUAAGAAAGAAAGAACAAAACAAAUUUAAAAAGAAGAAAGUAAACAUACAGACAGCAGUCACAGCCUUAAGUCUGGACUCCCAGUGGAAGCCAGCUGUCCUCCUUAGGACCAAGGGGACUGGGGACUGGGGACUGCUGGGCAGUGUUGAUCUUGGUGUGGCGGCCAGACCGAUUGCCCAUGAAAGCUGGGCUUAGGCGGCCUGGAAAGAGAAGGCUUUUCAGAAACCACGCCCUAGCUGGCAUCCUGAGCUAGAAAACAAGGGUCACCAGCAAUAGAAUGUUCUUUUGUGUCCUUUACUGACCCACCCAUUCAGUUCCCCCUGGGCCCCUAACUCUGUCUCGAGGCCAUGAACUGAGGUUGACACCAAACUUUGCUAAAAGGAGAAGGAUUUGCAAUCUAUAGCUAGAGCUAUAAUCUCUAGUACUGGAAUUGAACUUAGAGUCAAGUGAGGCAAGCACUGAGCCACAAAGCUAGAGCCCCAGACUGCUUCUAAAUUCCUUGUUAUAUUGUUUGUAAGAGAAGAAGAGCAGGCAAGCUCUGGCAAUCCUAGGGGACCUCCCAGCUUUUCUUAAUGUCUUCCUGUGCUGUGGUUUAUUUCAGUUCCACCAAAAAGGGUGUCUCUCUUCUCCCCCAGCUAGGAAAAUUGUCCUGGUCCCCUACCUCACUUAGGGCCUCCUUAGGACCUUGGGAGUAAACAAACUUCAACCUCCUGCCCCCCCUCAACCCAGGACUAUGUCACCUGCUUUGUUGAACCUUCUCCCUCAACACAUACUUAUGUGACUAACCCAGGCCCCUCCUGGCUGAUCUCCAUUGCCUGUACAUUUCAAAUAAACAUGACUUGGGGCAGGUAAGACACUGACCCUUUGUUGGUUGGCCCCCUCUCAGCUGUCAAAACGACAGCUUUGGGUCUGCAUCAAGAAACCAAUGGCUAGCUAGCUAAUAGUAUUCAAACCCCUGCCUGAAAAUGAAAGGAGAAAAAAAAUAAACAAUUUUCUGCUUGGGACAGCUUAAACUGAAUAAUCAUGACUGUGACAACCUGACCUAAAUGUUCUUAAUCAGAGCAGGAGAAAUAUGUGCCCAUUCGCCCCCUCCUUUACUAAUUAAGGGGAGCUAAUUGGCAUUUUCAGGAAUUUCCAACUGGGGGUCACGAGCCUCCAGUCGUCCUUUCACCCCUCCUCGUCCCACUCCUGGACCAAAGUUCGUCCCCGCCCGUGGAGUUGGCCUCUUUUCGACAGACAAUGGGAGAGGUUGCCGCGGACCCUCUGGCUCUGCCUUUGCGCCAGAACGUAAGCCUUGAAAAGGACGCCCGGUGAUUGGCCAGAAGUUCUUCUUGCCCAGCAGGGCUGCCAGCCUUUCACACAUCCCUAGACCUGUUUCUGGGGGGAGCCAAGACCUCUCACCGGGCUGCCAAGUCAGCACUGCCAAAUUGGUGGAGUGUGGCUCCCACCGGAGGCCCAGAAUUCAGCCCAGGGCUGGGCACGUGGGAGAAACUCAGGAAAUGUCUACCCUCCCCACCCCACCCUCGUAUGGAAUAAAAGCCCCCCCCCCAGGCAAAAGUCUUCACCUAGUUGAAGGGUUUCCUGGGCAGGUGCAAGACCCAGUUUUUCUCCAUCAUUUCGCUUCAGUCCUCUGCCCCCCUGAUUUUUUUUUUUUUUCCUAUCCACCUUCUAUGGCAAAGGCAAAGGACUCACCUAGAAGCCCUUCGGAGGCCACCACCCUCUAGACUCCCCCACACCCCAUGAGAUCCAGAUACUUCAGGCUACAAGGAGUUUGAACCUGAAAUGAGCCAGAUAAUUGCCCCAAUUCGCUGUUCCUUAUUGAGGAGAUAGUUUACAGGCUGAGAGGUUCAAAGGGGCCUCACUUUUAUGGACAGUGCCCUAAGUCAAAAGAAUACAUUACGCACAAUCGCACAAGCGGGCUGAAGCUCAUGCCCUCCAACCUAGACUGGUUCUCUAAGAACAAAGGAGACUUCCUCCUCCUCCCUCUUCCUCCUCCUCCUCUCUCUCUUCCUUGUUAUUAAUAUUUACUAAGUGUUUCCUGUGUUGCAGACAUCAUGCUUAAUUCUAGGCACAAGGUUCAUUAAUCAUUAUUACAACCUUAAGAUCUUGGACAGGCAGCUUUUUCACAGAUGUAUAAAGGAAUAUAUUUUUCAGUCAGGAAGUAUCUGUGUGUGUGUGUGUGUGUGUGUGUGUGUGUGUGUGAAAGAGAGAGAAAGAAAGGGAGAGAGAGAAAGAGAGAGACCUUGGCAAAUCCUAAUGUUUCAGGAUAUAACAGGAUGGAGACAAAACUGUGGAUGAGAAGAUCUUAAAGUUUUGAAAUUUAGAAGGUUUUACUGGAAGGCAGAUAGUUCCCCCUGCCCUGAAACGAACAAAGGAGUGAGGCAAUUAACUGGCUAAUUCCAAGACCCAAAUGCUUUCCCUUGAAAUGGGCGGAUAAUGAGGCCCACAGUAUGUUCGCAGUUGAAUUCGCCUGAUGUCGCUCCAUUUCCUUCUCUCCCCCACCCCCCAACUUUCGGGGAUCCAUUGGGCAAUCACAGUGAGACGCCAGACGCUGCCCGUGGACGCGCGCGCUCGCGCACUCACGCACAGGAAUGCUGACACACACAGACCCGACUUUAUUCUCCCUCCAGAGUCUUUUAUGACUCAGCCUUGGGAAUGAGAAUAGGGGUUUUGGAGAGAAAUAAUGUGCCUGGGGCCGGGUGGGCCGCAGCUGCUCCAGAUGUGCGCUGGGUAAUUAGGCUUCCGCGAGAGCUGGUGCCCGGCUGGGGACCGUGCGUCCCCCUGGGAACGGAGACCCAGGCAGGCGCUGUGCCGCAGUCUGUCCUGCUCUUUGCUGCCCCGUCCAGGGACUCCCUCCCCCGCCCUCCCUCUCCGCUGGGAUUCUCUGGUCUCUUGCCUUAGAAAUAAGUUUGGCAGCUGGUUCCAGGAAGAUGGCACCUCUGUCAGGCGGGAAGGAGGAGGGAGGAUUUGAUCUCUUCCGCCCCAUGCCUCUCUGGUCCUGACUGGCUCUGAGCACAGCCUCACAGGCCUCUGGGGUCCACACAAAGUCUCUCUUUGCUCCAUCUAGAAUUUAAUACAGCGUAUACUUCGUCCCGGCAAUGGUCAGGGGUGGGGGUGGGAAAUGGGGUUCCUGUUACAGUGACGGGGUCUGGCCAAGAAUGCCCUCCAGCUUUGGGGUGUAGGAAAGGUUCCCGCAUCUUCUCCUAGUUUCACAAGGUUUUCAAACUCCACUUUCCUGUCCAGUGUGUCUUUUUUUUUUUUUGAGGGCCUAAAACACUGGCCCAGUGCCCCUCAGUUAGGAAGGUUAUGAACUGGCCGUUCCCUGAAGGGAGGGUCGGGUUUGCCUUGCCCUGUCUUCACUUCCAGUGUUUUUGUGUUUUUUUUUUUUUUUUUUUUUUAAGAUUUAUUUAUUGUCUAUACAAUGUUCUGUCUGCAUGGACACCUGCGCGCCAGAAGAGGGCACUAUAGAUGGUUGUAAGCCACCAUGUGGUUGCUGGGAAUUGAACUCCGGACCUCUGGAAGAGCAGCCAGUGCUCUUAACCUCUGAGCCAACUCUCCAGCCCGACUUCCAGUGUUCUUAUGGCUUGCACCCAAUCUGAAACCCAGGGGACCCCAACGCUGCAGCAGAAACUGUCUCUAAAAGUUGUCGCUCCGGAAAUGAAGUACGCUAAGGGAAAACCGCCACAUUUGUUGGCUGUUGGAAGGUGUUUAUUUUGGAGUAGAAGAUUCACUUUGGAGUGGAGGAGGGCGCCAAAGGCGACGCGCUGGCGGCCGGCUCCAGGCCAGCCAGGCCCAGUUGCAGCUGCGGGAACCUGUCCCUCCGCUUGCUCGGUAUUGGACGCUGAGCUUCGGAGACGCUCGGGGACGAUCGGGCCGCGCGCCGAGUCCACGCCAGGGCGCCGCCUAGAGGUCGGUCGCGUCCUGCGCCUCACUCGCUAGCCGACCGCGGAGCGGCUUGUCCAAGGCACAGCGCUAGACUUAAAACAAAACAAAACAAAAUUCCCCGCUUUUGGGGUCGGGGAGUUGGCUUCUGGCACCUUUGACUGGUCAGAAACUGCCCCUUCUCUGCCUCGUAAGGAACCCCAGGGGGAGAAAGGGAGCGGGGAUUUCAAAGAAAUAUUUAUCCUUGUGACUCUAAGCAAAAGAGUCUCAACAUGUCAGUUUCUUCUAAGGAUCUGGGGUUCUGUUUCUGUGUCCGCACUGUUUCCUCUCAUCAUCCAGAUUGCCCAGCCUCAUCUUCCUCCUUCAUGCUAGAAGUAUGCGUUAACUUCAAGAAGAAAGGGGACUAUGAAGACGUCCCCUUGCCUCUUAUCAUCGUUUGACUGUAGGGCUUCUAAAUAAUUUGGAGAUGGACAUGUUUUGGGAAAGAACUUGGAAAUCGUCUGAGGGGUGAUAGGAAGAACUGCCCAAAGGGCCCUUACGUACUGAGUAGCUUCUUCGACGGUGUCCCAGCAAUAGUCAGGGCUGUAUUUGAAGACACCAGUAGCCCUGCUCAGGGGAGUCUGAAUCCUUGCGGGCUUCUUUUUGAAGCAGACCAAUGCCCCCCCCCCCCCCCCCCCGCCCAGCUCAGGGGCUGAGAGUAGGGGACGCUGCAGAGCUCACGAGUUUGUUGUGUUGAGUGCAGCCUCUCCUAGUUUCCCACAGAGCCCCUGUCCUCAGCCACGGAGCUACAGAGACCAGGCCAGCGGCGUGCAGGGAGCCAGCACACUGAUCUUCAGCCAUGGGCAUCCCUGGCCGGGCAGCUCCAUCGGAAACGGAAAAAGACUAGUUCUGAUGAGAGAACCCUUGGCCCUUCUGUCCUUCCUCUUCCCUCCUCUGUGUCUUCUGGAGGGAAAGGGGCUACAGGCAUGGCUGCCACCACAGUAUUCUCGAUAGAAACCGAGCGGGGUGAAGACUGAAAACAAGGGGCGGGGGUGGGGGCAGAGUGGGGUACACGGUGAGCAGAGUUGGGAGAUGUCAUUUGGGGAAAUAAAUAUUUGAGAGGUGUAAGGUGCUUCCUGUCCCAAAUGCUCUUCCAUCUUGGUGUCAGGAAGGCUGGUGCCACCACAGGGCACACCAGCCCACGAUUCUCCUCACCCCUGGCCAAACCUGGGCAGAACGGGGCCAAUUCAGCCUUUUGGAUUUUAUUAUUAUUAUUAUUAUUAUUUAAACGAUGAGAAACAGCUUGGUAUUUUCUGUUUCCCCCUCACCUUUAAAGCACCAGCGGAGGGAGCCUUGGCAGCAUGUCCUGGAGGGGGGAAUGAGUUGGCUAGGUCAGGGCUGCUGCACCUGUGUGUCUGGGUUAUGGGGCUGGGUAACCCUCCUAGGCCUGCAGCUCAGCCCCAGCCCCGGUCCUGAGCUGAGCCGAGGUAGUCUCAGCAGCCUCUCGAGUGUACUUUAGACCCAAAGCUUUGGUGUUUGGUGAUGAAUAAUUGGGGUGCACGGAAUCCAAGGGUGCUGUCGUCCUUCACUUAAACACGUACUUAGAGCUCCCAAAAUUCCGAGAAAGGGAACUGUUUUUCUUAAUUUCCCUGCAGUCCCCUGGUGGAGCAAAUCCGGAUUCCGCGAAAUUUUGGAAAAAAAAAAAAGCAAACUUCCCAAAGCGGAAAGAGCAGUGGCAAGUCGAGGUCCGCUUAGUUGGUGAUUGUUUGGAUUUGGUUUGGAGGCUUUUUAAAAAAGAGGAGCAGGCAGGGAACCUGGGGGGAGGGGGACCAAACGCCACUCUGAGCUCUCACUCUGCUCUCCAAGCGGGACGAGUUGGUCCCCCGCGAGUUUCUCCUUUGGAGCCCCUCACUGCUCAUCCCCCCAACCCCCCUUUCAGGCCUUGAGAAUUUCCCAAGUCCCCUGUCCCAUUCUAGCAAGUACCUGGCAAUAAACGGGCGGGCAGGGCAAAGGUCUGGACGCCCUAAAAAAAAAACAAAACUAAACUAAACUAAAUUAAACUAAAAAAAGCCCUCCUCGAGCAGACAACACAGGGUGUGGCACAGAGCUGGGCUUGUGGCGAGGAGUGCAGGGCGCUCAGCUCUGCCUAGGCAGGUUGCUGGGAGCCCUCAUCCAGGGCUCUUGGGUGUGCUCCGGACUCUAGGAGCCCAGGUUAGGCGAAUCGGCUUGCAGCCCUGGCCACGGAGCUAGAGAGAAGGGCACCACCGAGGCCUGGGGGACCUCUUUCUGCGCAAGCUCCUUCACCUCCUAAAUUGUUUCCCUUCCGUUUUACCCGCCCCCCUGCCCCCCAAAGCCGUGUUUCUUUUCAGGACAAGAGGGGAUAUAAACUGUUUGAAGUUCAUCAGCACGGUGAAGUUUUAUUGUAUUUCCGGUCCCCAAGAUUUACAUCCCCGAGGGGGAUGCCGGCAGCCAGGCAGACUCCCUCCUUACCUCCGAUUUCCACGCCGGACAUGUGGCCACGCGGACACUCGCCUUCCAGGGCGGGGGAGGGAGAGAGCCGGGCCCCACCGACUCCCCAGCGCCGGCUCAGUCUCCUGUCUACUCCCCUCAUCCCGCCCCACUCCCUGGCCUCAAGACUGGGAUUGGCAUAGAACUGGAAGGUUUGACCUCUCAGAGCUGCCUGGGAGUCCUGGUAACCCUGGAGCCCAGGGACUGGCCAGAUGGUGAGUGUACGGGAGCCUUUCUAGCAGUUUGAUGUUAAGAAUCCUUUUCAUCUGGGGAGCCCUCCAGCGAGGCCCAAGCAGGUAUCGCUUAGAGACCCUGGCCAGGGUUCUUGAAGGAGUUCCUGGAGUCCUGGGCCCAGCUCUUCAAAUCCCUUGUUUACCAGCAGCUGGGCUCUGUUAGGCUCUUUUUUCUGUUAGGAAGAAGUAGAAGAAAACAAGUCAGGCAGGGGAUGCAAGCCCUGUGGCCACGUUGGCCCACGGGAGCCCGCCCGGGUGGGCCCCUGGCCCGGAGCUUGAACUGGAACUGCAGAGUGAAUUAGGUAGUUUCAUGUUGUUGGGCCUGGCUUUCUGAACACAACAACAUCAAACCACCUGAUCCACGGCAGUUACUGCUUCUCGCUUAGCUGGAGGGGUCGGGUAGGGCCCUUCAGGACUGGCGGGUUACCCCUUGCAGAAUAAUAAAAGGGGCUCCUCAUCUGGGAAUAGCAAAAAGUGUUCCCUCAAGAAGAAACCUGGGGAGUUCUAGGAUUCUAAGAUGUCUGUUCACCAGAGAGAGAGAGGAGAAAAAGAUAGGGUAGGAGUAUGAGCAUCUCUCAAAGGCACCUUCAGGUGAUCUCUUUUGCUGCAAAGUCAAAGAUAGCAGCUGCCAGGGCUUCAAGCCCUUGGGUUAUGGGCUCCUGUCUGCAGUCAGACCUUCCAUGAAAGGUUUCUGCACUGCCUUGGUUUUUUUCCCCAACAGGGCUUUGGGGGGAGUCCUCUGAGUCUUCGUAUCUUUGGAUGACAGGGGCUCUACCUGAGCAAAACAAACAAACAAAAACCAAAACAACUUUGAAGUUCCUCUAAGGGGCCAGUGGGUAGCAAUCCCAAAGAGAAACACCGGGGUCAUUUGCAGUCUCUGUCUGCCAGCCUUUGGGGUCCCUCCUAGGGCCCCCUAGUGGGUAAGACUCCAGAAGUGGACGUGGGGGGGGCUUCCUUUCCCAGAUUCUAGUUGGUUCUUUACCCACUAGCUGAGCUGGCCUGUAGGUUCACACACGUCUCGAGGGCCACCCUCUGGGGAAAUGGCCUAAGGAGCAGCAGAAUCUAAAGAUGCUAGGUUAUUCGGUGCAGCCUGGCGUGAUGGUGGGGCUGGCGCCCGGACAGUUUCGGGGUAGGGCAGUUUCGUCCUCUCUGACCCCAGCCCUUCAAGGCUGCUGCUGGCUCAGUGCCCAGGAAAGAAGUCCCUAGGAGUGCUGGUGGGAAGGAGGACUUGCCAAGGCAUAGGCUAACUUUUGUUCCUAAAAUCUUUCCCUGCUUGAGGCAGAGGAAAUGGGCAAAGGGGCCCAGGAAAGAGGCUCCCGACCGGAUGGGACUCCAGGCGCCAGGCUGAUUUAGACAGUGAGGGGGGUGGGUGGAGGGUGUUUGAAUAAGAGGUCUCUGCAAAGGCAGAGAACACAGGGAGAGUAUCCUCCUAGAGCAGAGGGUUUUUUUUGCUUCAUAAGGAAGGGCCUUAAACUCUGAACUUUAACAUUUUCUCAUCUCCUUCUGUGGGGCAAGGGGGUCUGGAAAGUUCCUGCUGCCUUACCUUGAUUCUCCUCGGACCUCUUAAAAAACAAAACAAAACAAAACAAAACAAAAAACAAGCCAGGCCAUACUCCACCACUUGGCUGGUUCCCCACCCUGGCCACCUCCUCCCAGGAAAAGUGCUGUUAAAAAAAAAAAAAGAGAGAGGAGGAGGAGGAGGAAUAAGAAGAAAGAAAACAAGGGAUGUUAGAGAGAAAGGAGAAUAUAAAGUCUUUGGAGAGCAGAGAGUUUUACAACAGCCAAAGGUUUUAUGGAAGCAAUUGUGUAAUAGCCUUCUACCUGCUCAGAACCCUUUCCGCUCCGCCUGCAGCUCACCCCGUUUGGCCUUCUUGAUGCCUCCUCCCAAAGGACUCGGCCACCUCCCACUGUCUUGGAUAUUUGUGGUGGCUGAGAGUUGGUAAGAAGAUUCCUCAGGUCCAGUGGGGCCCGCUGACCUCUGACAUCCUGUGAGGGCUGUCAGAAGAUUUGGUUAUUUUCCAGUCAGGAUCCCUCCCUGGGGCUGUGGAAGCUCCCAGAUUUCUGCCUCAGUGUACAUACUUGGUGAUACCUGUUUGGAGAUUGUUUCUGGACAAAGGGUGUGGGUUCUGGUGUCUCCUUUUUCCCCUCCAAUGUCUAAGGGAACAAGUAUCUUUAAACCUCCCUGUAUCCCAGAGUAGGUCUGCAGUCUAAUCCUGAGGGUCAGAAGAAAUGUCUCCAGUGCUUGGGGGACAGAGACGGGGGACUGACAAUUUUGUAGUCUGCAGUGGUGCUUUGUCAGGACCUUCACAGUUAACCUGACGACUGUCUCACUCUGUCUGUCUGCUUUUCCUUCACACUUGUGUAAGACACACAAGCAAUGAUAUUUCCACCCUUAUGCCCAUCGCUACCAUGAAAUAAGUGUCACACAGUGCAUGCUGUCCCUGCCUGUUGGGGCAAGAUACGCAGUAAAGGAUUUCAUGGUUGGAUAACAAAAGUCACCAAAUUUCAUGACCUCUUCUGGGUCAGUUGGAGGUAUUUCCUUCACCUUCCCGUAAAAUGUUCCAGUAAUUGAAUCCAGCUUUAACACACACACAUUUAUUUAUUCGAAGAUGCAAUAUAAAACUUGCUUGAAUACUAAGAGGCAAGAUUUCACGGGAGGCUUCUACAUCAGCUAAUAUUUUAUAGCCAAAAUUUAGGCAUAAAUACCCAGGCUUUUUUCUCUAUAGGUGUGGGGUUUUUUGUUUGUUUGUUUUUUUGUUUGUUUGUUUUUUUAAACAUGCACACCAGAUUUGGGGUCAUACUUUUUAAAAGGAACAGAAUCACUAUUAAUCUACAGUGUUCACAGAAAUUAUGUACAUAACCACACACUUAGAUCUUAAGUGCCAGUGUUCAGGCGCAUUUAGUAUUACAGUUGGGAAGACUGUGCACAUAUACUGUAAAUGUAUGGAAUCGAGCAUAUUGGAAUGAUAGGUUCUCCUAUAGAAAACUGAUUUGGAACCAAUGUUUGAAACCGACGGAGGACAAACAUCUGCUCAAAUCCAACGUGCAUCAAUUUCAGCUUUAGUUUAUUAAUUAAAAACCAAGUAUUUUCUCUUUU